rnacentral:lncRNA from 1 species
CUUCGUAUAUAAAAUAUUAGACAUUAUACAUACGGGUAUUUACCAGUGAACAAUCGUAUUCUGACGUCAUUUGCCCAUGGACGUCGAAGAAGAAGGACCUUCGGCUUCUGCGCUUCUCGACCAAAAAAUAAUGAACCACAAGCAUUGCUUUUCUGCCAAGGAACGAGUAUAAAUACCAAUCAAAUACCAUAUUAAUGUCGAGGAACGUGUGAGAGAGACGUUUGGAAGAUAUUUUGAAGAAAAUGACGAAGAAAUGGCGGUAAAAUUGCGAAGACAAAUUCGGCCAGGUCGAAGGAAUUCCAAACCAAGAUGGAGUCGCCUUCUUCUCCAAUCUGAAAAAUGCACCGAAAAUCAAUUUAAUUGGGUUGGACAUCAGCUUAUUAAGAUAUUUAUUACAGACGUAAGUUCUCCUAUAAUUUUUUCAAGUAUGGAAAAAUAUAAUAUUUUAUUUACGAAAAAUUUUUUUAGUAAAAUUUUUUUAGUAAAAAUUUCUACCUGUCAUUAGUAAUAAGCAGUUAUACUCUAAAAUUAAAACAUGUUCAUUAUAUAUUGUUAAGUCAAAACCAAUCAUCUGGACAGCACCUUAAAAAGUUAACCUAAAAAGUUCCCUUGUAUAAAAAACUGACAAUGAACCCCUUCCCCCCCCCCUUUCAUAUUUUCUCUUAUUGUAUAUUUGCACAAAUGUUAUUGAAAGUAAUCAAAAAUUACUAUUUUUUUAGAAAGAUUGCAAAAGAAAAUACCAAACCAAACCAUGAAACCAAGAAAAAUAAUUACAUGAACUGUCUCAGGUAUAUAUCAGUAUUAAUUGUUAUCUAUCCGUGUGUAUUUCAGCUUUACAAUUGGUUCAAACUGUCAAAAAAAAAAUUCUAUAAUUGUAAAAUUUUAAUUAAAAGUAAUAUAUUUAUGACAAUUUAUAUAUACUAUUUCCUUUUCUCCAGCAAGAUUGUCUCAUGAACCGUACAAAAUGAAACCAAUGACAGAAAAGAUGAAGGAAAAUGUCGCGCAGG